rnacentral:lncRNA from 1 species
GCAGUAUAAAUUCAUAUUUUGACUUUUUCGAUAUAUAAAUUGUAAUGCAUAUGAAGAUUUAGACAUACAUUAUUUUUUUAUUAACAAAAGAUAUCAGAAGAUGUUGAAAUGCAAUCAGUUAUGUCAAAUAAGUUAUGCACUUCUGAAAUACCGUUGAAAUACUACAUUGGCAUGAAUGUUAAGAAAGAUGAACCUUAUUAGGAAAAAAAAAAGACAAUUCACUUUCUAACAUAAAACUAAAUUAAGUAUUUGAGCUUGAACAAACUGACUCAAGGACAUGCAUUUGGACUUAUGAACAAACUUCUCAACCGGGAUAUACUGUGAUGCUCCGGACCAAUUAGACAAAGAUCUUGAUGAUUGAGUGGGCUUUUGAGUCUGUUCGUUUGUAGGUAACCUAUAACAUUUAGCAAAAUAUAUUGGUAUAUAUGAACUUACAUAAAUAAAAUUUAGUAUUUUGGAAUGGGUUAAUACGAUAAAUGUAUUACUUAGACAAAAAUUCUUUAAUAUCUGGAAUAUCUUCAUUAAUCAACGGUUUAGAACCGCUGCAUCCAUGUGAAACUAUAAACAAUAAAAAACAUUAUGGUAUCAGUGCAAUGAUCGAUGGCUUCAAUUACGUGUGGCAAAAAUCAGACAUAAGAUACCUUGACAAUCCUUUAUCAUUGCAUGCGUGAGAACAAUUGCAAUAGCACCCUUGUUAUUCUCAUCAUUGUAGUAAUUCAAAAACAUAGAUCCAUAGCUUUCCCAUAAGGUGCUUUUAAUAAGAUUACCAAUGUCAUUGAGUCAUGAUAAUAGCAUAUUCAAUGUUGGUUUAUUGGAUAUGGAUUAUAAAAAAACUUACAGACAAAAUACGCAUAAUUCUAAAAGAAAUUAAUUACCGCUGCAUCCAUUAAAAGCAUAUUCAUAUGCCCAAUCCCCUUACUGUUGAUCACACUCCAUGCAUCAAAUAAUUCGAACAUCAGACCGUCAUGUUUCUUUUGAGUCGUUGAUGUCUUUUACGAAAUCUAAUUUUCGACUCAUUAUCACUACAACAAAAAUACAAUUAGGAUACAUUAACUGUGCUGAACAUUAAUACAUUACAAUCAAAACGCACAAAUAUAUUUAUCAAAAUAGAUAAUCAAUUUAGCAUAAUGCAAUAAAAUAUGAAGAAGAUGAAAUUUUAAAAAAAAAUAUAUGGAUUUGUAUAAGAUGAUCAAUGCAAACAACAAUAGAAAAGAAUAAUAAAAGUAUCCAUAAACACCGAAUGAAUACAAAAUCAAUGAAAAUGAUAAGAACCUGGAUUUGCAGAUAAAUUGUAAAAUGGUGAAAGAGGGAAUGUUGCUACUGUUGAUUGUAAAUGAAAUUGAAGAGGCAAUAAAGAGAAAUCGUUUUUCAGAGAAGUUGUUUAGGAAAAGAAAAAGUUGUUAUUAGAAACUCAAUGAAUAACUCAGAUGAAAUUGAAGAGGCAAUGAAAAUAUGAUUAAAGAUUCUAUUCCCAAUAUAAGUUGAUAAGAUUUGUAUGUUGGAAGCAACAAAUUGCUAGAAAAGUAAAA